UGCGCAGGCGCCCCUCGGUCAUGUCCACGCCUUUGGCCGUCAGGUCGGUCAGGACCCGGGCGAUCAGGGUGUCC
rnacentral:tRNA from 1 species